rnacentral:lncRNA from 11 species
AAUCACGCAGACUGCACCCAAUUUAAAUUGCUACAGAUAAUAUUGGAUAUGCAUAAGUAUAAGUUGACCUCAUGUACAAAUUGAGGACAAAAUUAUGAAGUUUUGAAUAAGCUGAGGAUGUAAAGAAUGAAGUAAAGGAAAACAAUGCCAAAGAUCUUACAAAAUUCUAGAAAAUUAGUUGGAUGAGGAGGGAACCAAGGCAAAUUGUGGCUUUGAUAUAUGGAGGAGGUAAGGGACACAAGGUGGCUAACAGCAACAUGGCACAAUAUAAAUUAAAAUAGGUCAAAUGCAUAAAAGCAAACAUUAAAACUAAUCCAAGCACAAAAAUACAAUUGAAAUACAACAAAAAUACAAUUUUGAAUAGCUAAAUCUCUUCCAGCUUUUGAAGGCACAAGAUUUAUGUGAAAAGCUAAAAAAGGUGAUGGCUGAGGAAUUUCACAAAACAAGGGUAUACAUCUAUCUAUAAUAAAAGUUAAAAUAUAUUUGUAAGUUUUUCUCUAUUU